GACGGAGGAUGCAAGCGUUAUCCGGAAUGAUUGGGCGUAAAGCGUCCGCAGGUGGCAGUUCAAGUCUGCUGUCAAAGACCGGGGCUUAACUUCGGAAAGGCAGUGGAAACUGAACAGUUAGAGUAUGGUAGGGGCAGAGGGAAUUCCUGGUGUAGCGGUGAAAUGCGUAGAGAUCAGGAAGAACAUCGGUGGCGAAGGCGCUCUGCUGGACCAUAACUGACACUCAGGGACGAAAGCUAGGGGAGCGAAUGGG
rnacentral:rRNA from 1 species